GAUGAAGAACGUAGUGAAAUGCGAUAAGUAGUGUGAAUUGCAGAAUUCAGUGAAUCAUCGAAUCUUUGAACGCACAUUGCGCCCCUUGGUAUUCCAUGGGGCAUGCCUGUUCGAGCGUCAUUUGUACCUUCAAGCUUUGCUUGGUGUUGGGUGUUUGUCUCGCCUUUGCGUGUAGACUCGCCUUAAAAUAAUUGGCAGCCGGCGUAUUGAUUUCGGAGCGCAGUACAUCUCGCGCUUUGCACUCAUAACGACAGCGUCCAAAAGUACAUUUUACACUCUUGACCUCGGAUCAGGUAGGGAUACCCGCUGAACUUAAGCAUUCAAUAAGCGGAGGA
rnacentral:misc_RNA from 1 species